UUAAAAAUUAUGUUUUGUCUCACUCCAUCCUUCAAGUGUGUGCGUCAUCGUAAUAUUUCUUCUCCGUUCAAUCUAUGGCAUUUGUCUCUGUCACUCAAUUGUAAACUAUGGGACAGCAUAUAAAAAGAGGCCAGUGCCAUAGGAGCUUUAAUAAAAAAGUAACCACCAAAAAUAGAAGAACCUUCUAAGUGACUUGUGGAGUGCACAGUGCAGUGAUUUUUUUCUUUUUAGUGAAAAAAAAUUUUUAAAAGAAACGAUGGAGAAAAUGGAUUAUUAUACAACAAUAGAAGUGAUGAUUCAGGGUCCAAAAAGAUGGCUUUUGGAAAGCAAUACGGAGCAAUUUAGAGAACUGUGCAUCACAGGGUUGGCGUUAAGAACAAGAGACAUUUUUAAUGGGGAGAGAGAUUCUCAUUCUCCAGUUUAUUUAAAUUUCAAUGGAGUACGGGCUAAAGUUCACGGUAUGGUGAAUGGAUAAUGGAUACGACGCAUUGACUUGGACUUUGGUAAAAUUUUGAAUGAGGACAAUUACACGGGCUUCCAUUUAUUUUUCCAAAUACCGAAUGAAUGGGUGGUCAAUUGCUUUGAUCUCCAGAAAUUAACUGAUUUUCUGACAUUGGCGGCAGGAGUAAGGCGAUACGGACUUUUCAGUCCAAGUUCAUCAAUGGACGACGAUGAGUAUUUCUUGGAACACAUGAAUAUCGUUGUAGAAGUAUUGGAAAUUCAGGAUUUCGUGUUCCUGUUAAAAAAACGUCCUGAUAUUGACAAUUUAUCGGGAGAUGAAUUUGAUUUUGACAUCAUAGAAGGUCCGGUUUCAAAUCCAACAUAAACCGAAGAAUUUACAAUGAGUCAAAUGGACAUUGAUUUCCUUCCAACUCAAGGUGUUAAAAUUGAAGAAAUUGUUGUUAUAGAUGAGGAAAAUGAGGAGGAGGAGAGGCAAAGGGAGGUAAACGAAGCCACUAGUCUCCUGGAAUUAAUCAUUAAAAAGGAAU